rnacentral:rRNA from 1 species
GCUUCUGAAGAAUCAUUUGAAGUACUUAGUGGCGGACGGGUGAGUAACGCGUGGGUAACCUGCCUCACACAGGGGGAUAACAGUUGGAAACGACUGUUAAUACCGCAUAAGCGCACAGUAUCGCAUGAUACAGUGUGAAAAACUCCGGUGGUGUGAGAUGGACCCGCGUCUGAUUAGCUAGUUGGCGAGGUAACGGCCCACCAAGGCGACGAUCAGUAGCCGGCCUGAGAGGGUAAACGGCCACAUUGGGACUGAGACACGGCCCAAACUCCUACGGGAGGCAGCAGUGGGGAAUAUUGCACAAUGGGGGAAACCCUGAUGCAGCGACGCCGCGUGAGUUAUGAAGUAUUUCGGUACGUAAAACUCUAUCAGCAGGGAAGAAAAUGACGGUACCUGACUAAGAAGCACCGGCUAAAUACGUGCCAGCAGCCGCGGUAAUACGUAUGGUGCAAGCGUUAUCCGGAUUUACUGGGUGUAAAGGGUGCGUAGGUGGCAUGGCAAGUCAGAUGUGAAAUGCCGGGGCUCAACCCCGGAACUGCAUUUGAAACUGUCAAGCUAGAGUACAGGAGAGGAAAGCGGAAUUCCUAGUGUAGCGGUGAAAUGCGUAGAUAUUAGGAGGAACACCAGUGGCGAAGGCGGCUUUCUGGACUGACACUGACACUGAGGCACGA